rnacentral:rRNA from 1 species
GACGAACGCUGGCGGCGUGCCUAAUACAUGCAAGUCGAGCGAAGAGGCGGAUGGGUGAGUAACGCGUGGGUAACCUGCCAUAAAGUGUGGGAUACCAUUUGGAAAAAGAUGCUAAUACCGGAUACGAAAGGAUGGACCUGCUAUGCAUUAGCUAGUUGGUAAGGUAACGGCCUACCAAGGCGAUGAUGCAUAGCCGAGUUGAGCGGCUGAUCGUCCACAUUGGGACUGAGACACGGCCCAAACUCCUGCGGGAGGCAGCCGUAGGGAAUCUUCCGCAAUGGACGAAAGUCUGAUGGAGCAACGCCGCGUGAGUGAAGAAGGUUUUCGGAUCGUAAAGCUCUGUUGUUGGUGAAGCGGUAUUCAACCAGAAAGCCACGGCUAACUACGUGCCAGCAGCCGCGGUAAUUC